rnacentral:rRNA from 1 species
GACGAACGCUGGCGGCGUGCCUAAUACAUGCAAGUAGGACGCAGUUGCGAACGGGUGAGUAACGCGUAGGUAACUGCCUCAUAGAGGGGGAUAACUAUUGGACAAGAUAGCUAAUACCGCAUACUAGUAGAUGGACCUUCGUUGUCUUAGCUAGUAGGUAGGGUAAUGGACUACCUAGGCGACGAUACAUAGCCGACCUGAGAGGGGGAUCGGCCACAAUGGGACUGAGAGACGGCCCAGACGACUACGGGAGGCAGCAGUAGGGAAUCUUCGGCAAUGGGGGGAACCCUGAGCGGGCAACGCCGCGUGAGUGGAGAAGGUUUACGGAUCGUAAAGCUCUGUUGUUAAGGAAGCGGUACUUAACCAGAAAGGGACGGCUAACUACGUGCCAGCAGCCGCGGUAAUAC